UCAGCGGCGCACCUACAGAGUGAGAAGAGAUAUUUUCGCUGAGUACGACGAUGCUGAGUUACUGAAAAGAUUCAGAUUGGACCGUGCUGGUAUUGUUGCAGUGACUGAUAUAGUGAGAGACAAGCUGCAAAGUAAAACUGAAAGAAAUAGAGCCUUGACCCCUGAGAUGGUGGCCAUCACAUUACGAUAUUUAGCCACAGGAAAAAUGCAACAGUGCAGUUGUGAUGAUUUUGGAACAACGCAGCCCACUAUCAGCCGUGCAAUAUCACAGACAAUUGAUGCACUGGCUGACCCAGAAGUAAUCUGCCAGUUCGGGGCUUUCCCUCACACCCAGCGUGAAGUGCAGCAAAAACAGGCAGAGUUCAUGCAAGUAACUCAGUUUCCCGGUGUUGUGGGAGUGAUUGAUGGCACUCAUAUAAGAAUUGUGUCUCCUCAUGUCGAUGAACAUGUAUAUGUGAACAGGAAACGCUAUCACAGCAUAAAUGUGCAAGUAGUAUUUGAUGCUCACUAUAAGAUUCUUGACAUUGUGGCAAGGUGGCCUGGCUCAGUCAACGAUGCAAGAAUACUAGAUAAGUCAGCACUCAAACUGAUGUUUGAGGAACAACAUGUACCUGCAGGAUGCUACCUUCCCGGGGACAGUGGCUAUCCCUGUAAGCAGUGGCUCCUCACUCCUUACCUUCGCCCUCAAACUGUUGCACAAGCUAAUUAUAACAGUUCCAGUACCUUACGAUGCAGCCGAGGGGACUGACGCCACCACCACCACUGCCACCACCGCCACAACAAGGGUUAUUCGAGUGGGGAACAUGCUUCAGGUGUUGCCCCAAGAUGCCUCAGCCCCGCAGCCCCACUUCCCCAUGAUAGUGCAGGCAGGGAAUGUCAUACAGGUUGUUCCAGCUGACAACACGCAGGUAUUAGGGGCAGAAGUCGUUGGAGUUGGUCGGGUCAUGCAAGUGGUCGGAGUCCCAGGCUUUCCCCCGACCCCAGCCCCAGACCCCUGCCCCAGCCACCCCUCUCCCUGUGACCCCUGCCCAGUCAUCCCUCACCCCCUCCUGCCCCCAUGCGGUGCUGCCAGCGGGGGUGAUGGGAGGUGGAGGUGGGCCACACACACCUGGGUUAGCUGUGGCUUGGCUUAUCUCCCUCCUCAGCAGCAAAUCCCGAGGAUCAACGAGGACAUGGUGGACCCAGAGAUUGCAGCAGCAGCAAGAGAGAGAGAGAGAAGCAAGAGAGGAGGGAGAGGAAGGAGAGGAGGAGGAGAGAGAGGGAGGCCAGGAGGGAGGCACGUCAGAGAGAGAGGGAGAGGAAGAGGUUGAUUCUGUUACAACAACAACUGCAACAACAACAACAGUUAGUCAGUGAGGAGGGGGAGGGGCCGUCCUCUGAUGCUGAGGAUGAGGUAUUGUUCAGGGAGGCCAUGUCGGAGGUGCCGGUGGUGGGGUCGCCAGUUCCGGAGUACGAGGUGGAGGAGGAAAAGGAAGAGGAGGACGAGGAGGAGGCACGGAUAAGGAAGAAGAAAAGAUUAUUAGCUGUAGCCCUCCCUCCAGCUGAUAAGGGGAUAAGCCAUAGUAAGCCACAGCUUACUAUGUUCAACAGAUGCCUGAAGGAAGUGUGUGUAAGGGAGGAUAAAGAGAUCAUGCUGGCCUAUGCAGACGAUGUCGCUGUCGUGACAGGAAGCCAACAAGAUCUUCAAGAGGCCAUGACAAGAUGGAAUGAUGUUUUAAAUAGGGAAGGAAUGAGAAUGAACAAACAAAAAACUUAUUUACUAGUGGACAAGCAACAAGUGAUGGUGUGGCUCUGAGCCACUGUAGUAGGGAUGUUAUGGUUUAAGUGUAGGAAGUUGCAAAUGCUCACCUAACAAUUGCACCUUAGUAGAAAAACACAAACAGGAAGUUUAUGCAAGUUUUGAUCCUUAUAUAAAAUGUUGUAUUGCAUCAAACCUCCAUACAUUACUGUCUCUAUCCAGUAUGAGACCGGUGUUCAGGAAGCACAAGCAUGUGCUGAAUAACAAGAAGCCGGCAUUGGUGAAGGUGACAACAUUUCAUCUAUUUAUACAUACUUUUUAUUAUUAAAGCUUAUCUUAUAAUUAUUUCUGAAGAGAUUGACUAAUUUUUGUAGUAUUUAUGACUUAGAACUAUGAUAAAGCUAUGAAUUGAUAUAAUUCCUGAUUUGUUUUAUCUUUUCAUUAUCCUUCCUUUGUUAAUUGAGCAUUUUAUAUUACUUAGCUUAAAAAUGCAAGAACGGUUCAGAAGUAUCCAACCUUGGGCUAAGGGCCAAAAUUAUGGUAUCAUUCAAAAUGUCCUUCAAAGAAAGCCCUCUGUAAUCCAACACACUUAGCCCAUUAAUCCUUCCAUUUCUCAUCAAUUUGUUCAACAUUCAUAUUUUUCCCUUAUAGGGUUGAACAAUUUUCAUGGGUUCAGAGCAAAAGGCUUCCUCAUUCCUCCCCAAGGUAUUCUCGGAUGGUAAGCAGGUUUGACUCUGGAGCAAACCUGACCAAGGGCUACUGCCCAAGGCUACAGAGGUUCCUCUCCCUGAGGCUGAAUGCACCAUGUGAGAUGGUUCUGUUAUGUGGAUGAAUGUCAUGGUGGAUAGCAGUGCCACCACAUUCCUACAAUCAUCCAUCACUCCACUGCUCAAAUGCUUCUGCAACCAAUGAUAGGUAUGCUGCCACAUUCUGCAUGGUCUCCUUGGCUCUCAGAUAAGGAUACUGUCAACAGGUUUGGGAUUGCCAAAAAAUCAUAAGGAGCUAUGUCUGAAAAGUCCAGAGAGAGAGAGAGAGAGAAAGAAUGAGCAAGAGAAAGAGUAGGAUGAAGCAAAGGAAGAGUCAAGAUGGAGGAAGAGAGAGUAGGACAAGAAAAAACAACAAAUAAAUCCCCUACACGUCUUGUCUCCAUUCACACAAGCCAUGAAAAGCUUGUCCAUCCCUGAGUGCUCAGAAGCAGUGUUCCACUGAUGAUGUGGAAACUUGAGACACCCAAUCAUUUAAUGGGCUUUAGUAGGUUUUGUCACCAGUCUUCUGUGUGUCACUGACUACAUUUUGAAAUUUUUAUCUGUUCUAUUUAAUUUUGUGUGUAUGUACACAAUGUUUAUGGUCAAUAAACUAUUUAUAAAACUAUUUAUCUGUGUGAGUAAGAUAAAAGCAGUUAUUGUUAUUAUUAUUAUUAUUAUUAUUAUUAUUAUUAUUAUUAUUAUUAUUAUUAUUACACAUUUUCCUCCUUGUAUUUAAAUAUUAUUAUUAUUAUUAUUAUUAUUAUUAUUAUUAUUAUCAUGAAUUGUUCUUGUUUAUAAAUAAAAUACUGUAACUGA